UAGGGAAUCUUCCGCAAUGGGCGAAAGCUUGACGGAGCAACGCCGCGUGAGUGAUGAAGGUCUUCGGAUCGUAAAACUCUGUUAUUAGGGAAGAACAAAUGUGUAAGUAACUAUGCACGUCUUGACGGUACCUAAUCAGAAAGCCACGGCUAACUACGUGCCAGCAGCCGCGGUAAUACGUAGGUGGCAAUCGUUAUCCGGAAUUAUUGGGCGUAAAGCGCGCGUAGGCGGUUUUUUAAGUCUGAUGUGAAAGCCCACGGCUCAACCGUGGCAGGUCAUUGGAAACUGGAAAACUUGAGUGCAGAAGAGGAAAGUGGAAUUCCAUGUGUAGCGGUGAAAUGCGCAGAGAUAUGGAGGAACACCAGUGGCGAAGGCGACUUUCUGGUCUGUAACUGACGCUGAUGUGCGAAAGCGUGGGGAUCAAACAGG
rnacentral:rRNA from 1 species